GGUUUUAUAGUUUAUUUUAAAAAUAUUAAAUUGCAAGUUUAAAGAAGAUAAAAAUCUAAGACUU
rnacentral:tRNA from 1 species